GUCCCCCUUCCCCCUUCCUCCUUCCUCUUGGGCUUUCGUGAUUCGUAGCCUGAAUCUAAUCCCCUUUUGAGCAAACCCAAGCCACGCGGAUGCCCAGCUCUUGAUUUUCUAUUUUCUUGUUCGUUCCAUCGCAUGCUAGGUUGGGAUUGGGGCAGGUGAAAUCGCUGAUGGCUUCGAUCGACCUCCGGAGAUCCCUUGCUAUCAUAGGGUAUCUGAGAUUAUACCGGACCAUCACACAACUCAUAGUACAUUGCUUUAUAGGAAUGUUCCACCCACUAACAGCAACACACUGCCACCAUCAAUUCCGAGCAAGGUCAUGUUGAUUUGAUCCAUCCUGCUGAAGUGACAUAGGCUCAUGGAAUCCAAGAGAAGUGCUCGACGAUCCCUCUUUGAUGUGAUUCCUCCUUUUAGAGCAAUCUCCGAAGAAAUCUGGAGAACAAAAGGGACUAGGACACCAUAAGCAAUCAAUUUUACUACUAUCUCGUGUGAGAUGUUAGCUAGUGGUUGGAAUCAUUUUUUGGAAUUUGUCAAUCGACUGCUGCAUGACAAGAAGCCAAAGGAAGCAAGCCGACGUCUGGGCAGGAAAAGGAUAACAACACAUUGGGCCCAUGGGCUAAAAGGGUGUCGCAGCUGAUGGAUCGAGAAUUGGGCUGGCAGACUUUCAUCAGAAAGUUAUGGUGUUAGAUCUAGGUUUAGUGUAUUUUAGAAAGUUUAUUUCCUUUUAAUCAAGUCAUGUCGUCAUCGACAAGGGUUCGUAGCCUAUAAAUAUCAGCCUACGGACUUGUAAUCAGAUUCACCUCCUCUCGGUCAACAAACCCAUUUAUCUUUAUGCAUCUACCUUUCGACUUCACGCCAUUGCCUUUGGAGUAGGAGUAAUGUAGCUUUUCGGUGGCUUCUUCGAUGAGCAGGGCUGCAUCACCUCAACCUCUAGAUCAUCUGUUACUAGGUGUUCUAGGCUUUAACUACCGGGCGCAUCGCUGUGGUAUAGAUUCAUCUACCAGUUAUCGAUUCUCAUCAUAUCUCGUAAGGCUGCAUCAACUUGAUCUCUUGCUAGAUGUGGUAGAAUCACAAGUUAUCCUAGCCUUGAUUAAGCUUGCAUCGGCUGUUACUUCUUUAAUCUGUUGUCUUGCUAUCUAAUUUGCUUCAAUUGGAUUUUAUCUCACUGGAAUAGAUGAUAGAUUAUUUAUUGGCCUGUUGCAUCUUAAUCUGGGUUACCUCUUGAGUGUUGUUGGGAUCGAGUUCUAUUGUGGAUAGAUCUAACGGCUGGCGAAGUUUAGAUUAACCUCUUAUCAACAAUGUUUCUAGAUUGCGUCUUCUAGACGCAUCGCUGUUGUUUCAUCCAGAAAUACUAUGAUAAUGUUAGUCGAAGCGUCAUUGGCUUAUAGUUCUACUCAAGGCGGAUCAAGAGCCCAAAGAUGCACUGUUUCCUAUCGGCUCUCUAGCCAAUAGCUCGCAUCGGCUAUUUAGCUGAUCGCCCACACCUUAACGUCCAUAUCAUGUUGUCACGAUUAUGCUAAAGUAUGAAUAGAUCUAUUUUACUUUGAGGAUUUAACCUUUCAUCCUUAUUAAUGCUGCCAUCGACCCGAUCCCCACUGAUAGUAGGAUAGAUUUGAUGAGCUUGUUGAUUUAUUUAUAUUAAAUGGUUGAAUUGAAUGCAUGCCAGCUCUCUUGGUUUUCCUUAUUGGCUCAAUGCUAUUAUGAUCAUGUUCUAUUCUAGCUAGUAAUGUUUAUCACUCUGUUGUUGGAUGUCGACUCUGUAGUUGAUAGCCAUACAAUCAGCCAUGCAUUUAGCCACAUAUCAGAACGUCUGGUACAACACCGGCAUAUUCCACCAAAAAUUAAUGAUUAUCCUCUCCUUGUCAAUUGCAGAGUCAAAUUGACUGGCACACCAUCGCACACCACACAUGUGUCGAUCUGGGUUCGGUACUUUGGAGCGAAGCAAAUCUCCCCGACCCUAGCGCACGUGGAGCGUAUUGAUCUGUCCCACAGUUUUUUUUUUCAACACUAGCAAAUAUUGAUUUGUGGCUAGCGUGGUUGAGCAGAGAGAAAGCGAUGAGGCAUGAGGAAAAAGGCGGCUACAUGCCAGAGUGUGACUAUCUCACUAACUCAUGUAGGUUAGUGCUGUAGUGGGCUGGAUGGGGGCUAGAUAUAUGGGUCAAGUUUAUUUCCAUUAGAUAUUACUAUGCAUUCUGAUAUUUCCUAACUGUGGGGUUGGUGAGGGCUGAGCCUUGCUUGGUCCUAGCCGCAUGGCAGUUUGUGAAAUCAGCGGAUAGACAUGUAAUCUUGCUUUUACUCGGUUCAGAUGAGAUUCGAAGAAAGGCGAGCCUAGCUAGCAGAGGCGGCGCUUGAUUGAGCUUGAGCAGUGGGAUUGCAGUCUAGGGUUUCAAACAAAGGGUGCUCAUAUUAUGCCUUUUUGUUCGCUGCAGGGUGGAUCUCAACCAUUGAUUUGAUUGUACGGUUGAAGCCAAGAAUUUUUUUUUAGUAAUGCUAGGAUACGGACGUCCGACAGGGGAGAAAAAUCGGACGCCUCCUCUCCCGUUCAGCGCGCCACUCUUCCUCCUAUCAUGUGCUCACUCCUCUUCCUCUUGCGCCCGCUCCUCCUCCACCCAUGCACCGCUCCUCCCGCUCCCCUCCGGGCGGGCGGCGCCGCACAAGGCCGGCAGUGAGCUCCAUCUCCCUCCACCCGCUCCUCCUCCUCCUCCCGCAGCCAUCGCGGGCUUCCCUCGACCAUCCUGCUCCUCCUCCUCCUCCACAAGUUCCCCUCCCCUGCAGCGCCGGGUGCCUCAUGUGCCUCCCGGGCAUGGGCGCAACGGAGCUCGCGCAGCGGUGGCGGCGGCUGAGGCCGGCGAACCCUCUGCAAACAGUGGCACGCGAGGGCGUCUGCGUGAGCUCCCUGGCAGCAAACUCCCCCAGCUCCCCCGGGCAGAGGAGUGCAGAGGUAGAAGAUGAGGUGGAGCUUCAACGACGCCCAUGUUGCAAGAGUAUGUUUGAAGUGUUUCAGAUGUUUCAAACAAAUGUUGCAAAUGUUUCACAUGGAUGUUCCAAAAGUAGAUCUAGAUGGUGUGAUGUUGCAUAUGCUUUUUAUGUGUUGUAAAUGUUUAUCUGGAUCACCACAUCUUCAACGCUAGAUUUGAAUGGUCCAUGCAACAUGAAACGGAUGUCGUGGCGGGUUUUUUUCCUCAUCAACGGAUGGUUAAUAAUGUUUUUUCAAUAUUUUUUGGAUGUUGCAAACAGUGAUUAUUCAUGUUGCA